rnacentral:lncRNA from 1 species
UGCAGAAAUACCCCAUCUGAUUAUUGCGUCUCAUGGCGAUUGCAUUUUCAGCAUUGAAGGGUCUCCAUUGACUGCCCAGGGGUGGAGACAUUUGGGCCAUCAGUCCACCCUCUUUGAGUGACGGAGGCAUCCCGUCAGCAUCAGUGUAUGGUUUUCGUGUUUCUCCUAAUGAGUUUUGCUCUGUUGGAAAUGCCAUCUGCCU